UACUUGCGGAACACAUAUGGAACAUAUAGUGUCUGUUCUGGAUUUGUUUCAAUCACGGGGUCUGACGUCGAUGCUCACGCGCAAACAACAGGAGCUUCUCCUUUUCAUUCAUGAGCGCAUGAAGGAAUCGGGCGUUCC
rnacentral:sRNA from 2 species